rnacentral:rRNA from 1 species
GGGGAAGGGUAGCUUGCUACCUGACCUAGCGGCGGACGGGUGAGUAAUGCUUAGGAAUCUGCCUAUUAGUGGGGGACAACAUUCCGAAAGGAAUGCUAAUACCGCAUACGCCCUACGGGGGAAAGCAGGGGAUCUUCGGACCUUGCGCUAAUAGAUGAGCCUAAGUCAGAUUAGCUAGUUGGUGGGGUAAAGGCCUACCAAGGCGACGAUCUGUAGCGGGUCUGAGAGGAUGAUCCGCCACACUGGGACUGAGACACGGCCCAGACUCCUACGGGAGGCAGCAGUGGGGAAUAUUGGACAAUGGGCGAAAGCCUGAUCCAGCCAUGCCGCGUGUGUGAAGAAGGCCUUUUGGUUGUAAAGCACUUUAAGCGAGGAGGAGGCUACUGAGAUUAAUACUCUUGGAUAGUGGACGUUACUCGCAGAAUAAGCACCGGCUAACUCUGUGCCAGCAGCCGCGGUAAUCAGAGGGUGCGAGCGUUAAUCGGAUUUACUGGGCGUAA